rnacentral:rRNA from 1 species
AGAGAUGUGUGAUGACGCAUAUCAAUAAGCGGAGGAAAAGAAACUAACAAGGAUUCCCUUAGUAACGGCGAGUGAAGCGGGAAGAGCUCAAAUUUGAAAUCUUCAAGGUUCUACCUUGACGAAUUGUAGUUUAUAGAAGUGUUUUCUGUUAGUGGAGUGGCAAAAGUUCUUUGGAAUAGGACAUCGUAGAGGGUGAGAAUCCCGUAUUUGGUCAUUCCUCCUAGCGUUGUGAUACACUUUCAACGAGUCGGAUUGUUUGGGAAUGCAGUCCAAAAUGGGUGGUAAGUUUCAUCUAAAGCUAAAUAUUGGCGAGAGACCGAUAGCGAACAAGUACCGUGAGGGAAAGAUGAAAAGAACUUUGAAAAGAGAGUUAAACAGUACGUGAAAUUGUCAAAAGGGAAGCGUUUGACACCAGUGUUGUUUUUCCGAAAAUCAAUUACGAAUGUUUUGUUUUUGAGGAGUUAUGACUUCAUCGGCUUGCUCCUUUCUUUAUGAAACUUUCUUAAUGCACUUUUCGGGUAACAAGUCAACAUCAAUUUCUUUUGUUGUAAAAGGGUACGAGGAAGGUGGCUUUCUUUUCGGAGAAAGUGUUUAUAGCCUUGUAGCCUCUGCAAUCGGAGAGAUUGAGGUCUGCAGCGUAGAUCCUUCGGGGUUAGAUACAUUUGUGCUAAGCUAUAGCCUUUUCAUAGACAACUUGUUGACUAUGCUCUAGUCAUGUAGCUUACUCGCUUAUGCUAUUUUACCUACGCUUAGGAUGUUGAUCUGUAGUGCGUGCG